rnacentral:tRNA from 1 species
GGCCCUGUAGCUCAGGUGGAUAGAGCAGCGGUUUCCUAAACCGUUGGUCGCGUGUUCGAGUCGCGCCAGGGCCACCA